rnacentral:tRNA from 3 species
GCCUUCGUAGCUUAGCUGGUAGAGCAAUACUUUCGUAAAGUAGAGGUCGGCGGUUCAAAUCCGCCCGAAGGCUCCA